GGUCAGUUGUAAAAAUGCAGUUCAACUCCAGAGAGGAUUUGACUGACUCUUCAGUAGAAGAAAAUAUUCUGAAACUGUUAGAAUCUGCUCUAGCUGAUGGAGGAUUCACGAACUUGACACUAAGUUGGUUUCAAUCCCCUAAACGGGUAGAGAUGCGGAAGACCAACACUACUAGUUAUUGUGGCAAAGGAAAAUAAUACAGUGCUAAAAAUAAACAAGGAAAUCAGUCUUUGACUUUAAAGAUGAUUCGGACUAAAUGUAAUGAAGUGAAAUUUCUUCAUAAUGCUGUGUUUAUGAUGUAAUUUCUGUUUAUUA